rnacentral:rRNA from 1 species
AUGUCUUUGCCGCUAUGUCGUUGUUGGUGGUGGGCCAUAUAUUCGCCCUGGGGCAUUAGUGAUGGCGGCAUGGAUUUCCCUAGGACGACGUAUCUCUUUGGGCCCACCUGCUCUUUGCUCCCUUUAUUACUCACUUCGGCGAAUUUGUACUCAUCCAAUUGGCCCCUCAUUCAUACACAGGAUUUGGCCGUUCCACUACCUUGCUGGAUGGAUGGGCGUGUACCUCAAGAAACCCUAUGGAAACACAACAAAAACGCCAAAUUUCCCGAGCUCCAGAAUUUUGGCGGUACAACCUAA